rnacentral:rRNA from 1 species
GAUGAACGCUGGCGGCGUGCCUAAUACAUGCAAAUCGAGCGAACGGACGAGAAGCUUGCUUCUCUGAUGUUAGCGGCGGACGGGUGAGUAACACGUGGAUAACCUACCUAUAAGACUGGGAUAACUUCGGGAAACCGGAGCUAAUACCGGAUAAUAUUUUGAACCGCAUGGUUCAAAAGUGAAAGACGGUCUUGCUGUCACUUAUAGAUGGAUCCGCGCUGCAUUAGCUAGUUGGUAAGGUAAUGGCUUACCAAGGCAACGAUGCAUAGCCGACCUGAGAGGGUGAUCGGCCACACUGGAACUGAGACACGGUCCAGACUCCUACGGGAGGCAGCAGUAGGGAAUCUUCCGCAAUGGGCGAAAGCCUGACGGAGCAACGCCGCGUGAGUGAUGAAGGUCUUCGGAUCGUAAAACUCUGUUAUUAGGGAAGAACAUAUGUGUAAGUAACUGUGCACAUCUUGACGGUACCUAAUCAGAAAGCCACGGCUAACUACGUG